rnacentral:rRNA from 1 species
CAGCAGCCGCGGUAAUACGAAGGGUGCAAGCGUUACUCGGAAUUACUGGGCGUAAAGCGUGCGUAGGUGGUGGUUUAAGUCCGUUGUGAAAGCCCUGGGCUCAACCUGGGAAUUGCAGUGGAUACUGGGUCACUAGAGUGUGGUAGAGGAUAGUGGAAUUUCCGGUGUAGCAGUGAAAUGCGUAGAGAUCGGAAGGAACAUCUGUGGCGAAGGCGACUAUCUGGGCCAACACUGACGCUGAGGUGCGAAAGCGUGGGGAGCAAACAGGAUUAGAUACCCGCGUAGUCCCUGUCUCUUAUAC